rnacentral:rRNA from 1 species
GACGAACGCUGGCGGCGUGCCUAAUACAUGCAAGUAGGACGCAGUUGCGAACGGGUGAGUAACGCGUAGGUAACUACCUAUUAGAGGGGGAUAACUAUUGGAAACGAUAGCUAAUACCGCAUACUAGUAGAUGGACCUGCUUUGUAUUAGCUAGUAGGUCGGGUAAAGGCAUACCUAGGCAACGCUACAUAGCCGACCUGUGAGGGUGAUCGUCAACACUGGGACGGAGACACGGACCAGACUCCGACGGGAGGCAGCAGUAGGGAAUCUUCGGGAAUGGGGGGAACCCUGACCGAGAAACGCCGAGUGAGUGAAGAAGGUUGUCGGAUCGUAAAGCUCUGUUGUUAAGGAAGCGGUACUUAACCAGAAAGGGACGGCUAACUACGUGCCAGCAGCCGCGGUAAUUC